rnacentral:rRNA from 1 species
AUUGAACGCUGGCGGCAUGCCUUACACAUGCAAGUCGAACGGCAGCACGGGUGCUUGCACCUGGUGGCGAGUGGCGAACGGGUGAGUAAUACAUCGGAACAUGUCCUGUAGUGGGGGAUAGCCCGGCGAAAGCCGGAUUAAUACCGCAUACGAUCUACGGAUGAAAGCAGGGGACCCUCGGGCCUCGCGCUAUAGGGUUGGCCGAUGGCUGAUUAGCUAGUGGGUGGGGUAAAGGCCUACCAAGGCGACGAUCAGUAGCUGGUCUGAGAGGACGACCAGCCACACUGGGAGUGAGACACGGCCCAGACUCCUACGGGAGGCAGCAGUGGGGAAUUUUGGACAAUGGGCGAAAGCCUGAUCCAGCAAUGCCGCGUGUGUGAAGAAGGCCUUCGGGUUGUAAAGCACUUUUGUCCGGAAAGAAAUCCUUGGCCCUAAUACGGUCGGGGGAUGACGGUACCGGAAGAAUAAGCACCGGCUAACUACGUG